CGCUGAACUUAAGCAUAUCAAUAAGCGGAGGAAAAGAAACCAACAGGGAUUGCCUCAGUAACGGCGAGUGAAGCGGCAACAGCUCAAAUUUUAAAUCUGACUCUAUAAUUAGAGCCCGAAUUGUAAUUUGUAGAGGAUGCUUCGAGUUCGGGUCUUAGUCUAAGUUCCUUGGAACAGGAUGUCAGAGAGGGUGAGAAUCCCGUAACUGGCUUUGUACCGUUCUCAUGUGAAGCUCCUUCGACGAGUCGAGUUGUUUGGGAAUGCAGCUCAAAAUGGGUGGUAAAUUUCAUCUAAAGCUAAAUACAGGCGGGAGACCGAUAGCGCACAAGUAGAGUGAUCGAAAGAUGAAAAGCACUUUGGAAAGAGAGUUAAAAAGUACGUGAAAUUGUUGAAAGGGAAGCGCUUGCAACUAGACUUGUCCUUAGCUGUUCCAUCAGUGUUUUUCACUGGUUUAUUUAGCUGAGGACAGGCCAGCAUCGGUUUGAGCGGUUGGAUAAAGAUUGCAGGAAUGUGGCUCUCUUUGGAGAGUGUUAUAGCCUGUAAUGUCAUACAGCCAGCUUAGACCGAGGACCGCGCUUUUUAGCUAGGAUGCUGGCGUAAUGGUUGUAAGCGACCCGUCUUGAAACACGGACC
rnacentral:rRNA from 1 species